rnacentral:rRNA from 1 species
GAUGAACGCUGGCGGCGUGCCUAAUACAUGCAAGUCGAGCGAACAGAUAAGGAGCUUGCUCCUUUGACGUUAGCGGCGGACGGGUGAGUAACACGUGGAUAACCUACCUAUAAGACUGGGAUAACUUCGGGAAACCGGAGCUAAUACCGGAUAACAUAUUGAACCGCAUGGUUCAAUAGUGAAAGGCGGCUUUGCUGUCACUUAUAGAUGGAUCCGCGCCGUAUUAGCUAGUUGGUAAGGUAACGGCUUACCAAGGCAACGAUACGUAGCCGACCUGAGAGGGUGAUCGGCCACACUGGAACUGAGACACGGUCCAGACUCCUACGGGAGGCAGCAGUAGGGAAUCGUCCGCGAUGGGCGAAAGCCUGACGGAGCAACGCCGCGUGAGUGAUGAAGGUCUUCGGAUCGGAAAACUCUGUUAUCAGGGAAGAACAAAUGUGUAAGUAACUGUGCACAUCUUGACGGUACCUGAUCAGAAAGCCACGGCUAACUACGUG